rnacentral:rRNA from 1 species
UACGUAGGGAGCAAGCGUUGUCCGGAUUUACUGGGUGUAAAGGGUGCGUAGGCGGCAAAGCAAGUCAGGCGUGAAAUCUGAGGGCUUAACCCUCAAACUGCGCUUGAAACUGUUUUGCUUGAGUGAAGUAGAGGUAGGCGGAAUUCCCGGUGUAGCGGUGAAAUGCGUAGAGAUCGGGAGGAACACCAGUGGCGAAGGCGGCCUACUGGGCUUUAACUGACGCUGAAGCACGAAAGCAUGGGUAGCAA